rnacentral:rRNA from 1 species
ACGCUGGCGGCAGGCUUAACACAUGCAAGUCGAGCGGGCGAGGUUGCUUCGGUAACUGAGCUAGCGGCGGACGGGUGAGUAAUGCUUAGGAAUCUGCCUAUUAGUGGGGGACAACAUUCCGAAAGGAAUGCUAAUACCGCAUACGCCCUACGGGGGAAAGCAGGGGAUCUCUCGGACCUUGCGCUAAUAGAUGAGCCUAAGUCAGAUUAGCUAGUUGGUGGGGUAAAGGCCUACCAAGGCGACGAUCUGUAGCGGGUCUGAGAGGAUGAUCCGCCACACUGGGACUGAGACACGGCCCAGACUCCUACGGGAGGCAGCAGUGGGGAAUAUUGGACAAUGGGCGAAACGCCUGAUCCAGCCAUGCCGCGUGUGUGAAGAAGGCCUUUUGGUUGUAAAGCACUUUAAGCGAGGAGGAGGCUACCGAGAUUAAUACUCUUGGAUAGUGGACGUUACUCGCAGAAUAAGCACCGGCUAACUCUGUGCCAGCAGCCGCGGUAAUACAGAGGGUGCGAGCGUUAAUCGGAUUUACUGGGCGUAAAGCGUGCGUAGGCGGCUUCUUAAGUCGGAUGUGAAAUCCCUGAGCUUAACUUAGGAAUUGCAUUCGAUACUGGGAAGCUAGAGUAUGGGAGAGGAUGGUAGAAUUCCAGGUGUAGCGGUGAAAUGCGUAGAGAUCUGGAGGAAUACCGAUGGCGAAGGCAGCCAUCUGGCCUAAUACUGACGCUGAGGUACGAAAGCA